UUUUAUGAGAGUUUGAUCCUGGCUCAGGACGAACGCUGGCGGCGUGCCUAAUACAUGCAAGUCGAACGCUUCUUUUUCCACCGGAGCUUGCUCCACCGGAAAAAGAGGAGUGGCGAACGGGUGAGUAACACGUGGGUAACCUGCCCAUCAGAAGGGGAUAACACUUGGAAACAGGUGCUAAUACC
rnacentral:rRNA from 1 species